UGUGAGUCACUCGGUAGCCCUCGGUUGUCAGAUAAACUGUCACAGAUCACAGUGCCUAUGUGCAAGGAACUCUCAUUUUACUUAACAGUGAGUGGCCUCAACGCGCAAGAGUGGCGAUGCUGGCAAUUGGGAUAUGCCAAAGGGAAGCCGUAUGUACUUCUUUUAACUGAAAACAUCAUCUCAAGAAUCCACAGGACCCGGCUGUAUGUUCUGAGAAACUGCUGGCCCCUGCUAGUUCUCAAUCAAAUGUUGCCGUGUCCUAUCUCACAUGCAUCUGGAGGAGGAGUGCUCGUAAGAUACGAGAUGGCGCCACGGCCGGCAACUUUACUCAUCUUGGGAGCGGGAUGAUGUAGCUGGUUUCAUAAACUUUCCUUUCUUGUAGUGUUCAAUUCUCUCUAAAAUUUGAAGGCUUCUCUCUUACCCAUCUUUGAAAGCACAGAAUUUCCUAAACUUUUUAAGAACUAGAUGACUUUCCCAGACUUUACACUUAUUUUUUUUUCCUCUUCAUGGUCACAACCACCACAGAAAAAGAAAGCCUGGACUUUCAAAAUAAUAACCCCAGUUUACAAAGUUAUUGUCUGGAAGCUAAAUACUGAAUUUUAGGUACUCACUAUGAACCACAAAAAUAAGUAAAAUUGACAUGAUUCUCCAUAUCAUACUAUCACUACUGUAUUUUCUUGCUGUUAUAUGUCCUUUAUUCUACCUUGGGACUCUAUGCCAAUAGGAAACUGCUUUAUGCUUUAAGAUAAAUAUAAAUGCCCUAGAGACUGAAAGAAUAAUACAGGACCUUUGAAGAAGUAAAUAAUCAUGUGCACAAAGAAUGUGGAAAUGAUAUUUGGAUUCUCCAAAGUCUGACCAUUCCCAAACUUCUUGGCUUCUGCAUCCCUUUACACUCUCAAUAAUUAUGGAGCAUCCCAAAGUGCUUUUGUUUAUAUGAGUUA